CCGACGGUGAGGGACGAAAGCUGGGGGAGCAAACCGGAUUAGAUACCCGGGUAGUCCCAGCUGUAAACGAUGCGCGUUAGGUGUGUCAGUGACCACGUGUCACUGAUGUGCCGAAGGGAAACCGUGAAACGCGCCGCCUGGGGAGUACGGUCGCAAGGCUGAAACUUAAAGGAGUUGGCGGGGGAGCACCACAACGGGUGGAGCCUGCGGUUUAAUCGGACUCAACGCCGGAAAUCUCACCGGAUAA
rnacentral:rRNA from 1 species